rnacentral:rRNA from 1 species
UACGUAGGGCGCAAGCGUUGUCCGGAAUCAUUGGGCGUAAAGCGCGCGUAGGUGGCUUCGUAAGUCCGUUGUGAAAGUCAAAGGCUCAACCUUUGAAUGCCGAUGGAUACUGCGAAGCUAGAGUACGGAAGAGGCGAGUGGAAUUCCUGGUGUAGCGGUGAAAUGCGCAGAUAUCAGGAGGAACACCAAUGGCGAAGGCAGCUCGCUGGGACGGUACUGACGCUGAGACGCGAAAGCGUGGGGAUCAAACAGG